UGUACGUGGGAGACGGAUCUGGCCUGUGCCCCCACCAGGUGCCUUCCUUCACACACCCUGCCCGGCCCAAGAGCCCGGACCCACGCUCCAGUCACUGGGCGGGGUCAUCCUCAUGCCUCUGGAUUGGAGUGCUGUGUAUUUUAACAAAGCCCUCCUUUGGCUCCAAAAGACGGGAUUCGAAGGCCCAGAAAUCUGGAGGAGGGGAGGUUGCGGCCUGUCGAGGAGUCCUAUUUCUCUCUGUUCCAGCCUCUGGGUACCUCAUGGUUACUCACACCACAGCCCUUCUGGAGCCUGGGGGAGAAGGCAGAGGCAAGGAAUCAGCGCACAGCCAGGCUCGAAGAUCCAAACCACAAAAAAGAUGAAGGAACCUUGUUGAUGAAGUCCUCCACCCUGGGAAAAAGAAGAUAAAAAAAGAGAGAAAGGAAGAAAAGAACAGAGAGAGAGUGAAGGAACAAUCCUUGACAAAUAUUUUCUGUUAAUAAAUUCCAU